UUGUAACAAUGCUGAGGGCUCCAUAUAGCUCUGUAUUGACACGAUUGGUUGAAGGUAGACGCGGGGGGGCUUACAUCCUGUAUAAAAAACAAAUUCACUUCCAUGACAAACAUGGAUAAUUUUGUGGGAAGGAUAACAAGUUUACAAAAAAACAACAAUAUUUGAUACCUUGCGUAGGCAUUUCAAAGACACCUAAAUUAGUUUGAACUCCUGGAAAGAGAUCGGGGACGUAAUGGUGAUACAUGCUUUAUAAACAAACAAACUCUCGUAUAAACAGAAACUCACUACCUUAAAUUGAUUAUUUUGAGGAAAGGCUACCAGAAAAAAGAUCUUUAUGAUACCUUGUUUAGGGAUUUCAAAGACGACAAUUUGUUUGAACUACUGGAAAGAGAUCGGGAAGACAAUGGGGAUAGAUGCGAUAAAGAAAUCAAUGGAGUUAAAUAAACGUUAAAUCCACGUUAACAGUGGAUAUUUGUCAAAAUCCGAUUUGGAUAUACUUGGCUGUUUUUGAUGCGUAACAUUUAGAAGUUUUUCCAGAUUUAAAAGUGACUACAAAUGCUAACUCCCAUUCGUAUAAACUGGUAGCAUAGCUAGCAUACAGAAAUAGGUGUUGGUAGUUAACUGUAGUUAAAAAACAACAACCUGUAAUGCAGUUGAUUAAUGACAUGAACAUGUAUUGGAGUUGACAUCCGUACAAGCAUUAUACUCCUAUUUCUACCUCAACAUGUGAAAUACACAUAUAAACAGCCUAAAUGUAGGCUAGUUUUUCUGGGGAGCAAUGGUUAGAUUUGCGAUGGGAUGCUGGUGGGAAAACGGUGCAGUCCUCCUACUUCAUGCGCUCUUGGGUGAGCUCUUACGUCAAGCACCAGGAAACUGACGCCACAUCUCAGAUGAGGGUUGCAAAGGGUCGGAAAACUUCUGGAAAAUUUCUGGACAUUUUCCAUAGGAAGAAUCUCCAUACAAAGCCCACCAAGUCUCAGUUGAAGAUGAGCCACAUGUCAACUGUCAAUCAUUCCCUGCCAGAUAUCACUACCUGAAUCUAUAAAGACUCGUAAACUGAACUGCAUCGCUGCCUCCGCCUGCUCUUUAAUUGGAGUCCCACAGUCGAUGGGCAUCGCCACAACCCUCACCUAAACCUCAAUCAGUUACACAAUAUUGUUCAAUUACAAGAUUGCAACAGGCUGUGAACCAAAGUUUUGGUCACUGUUUCUCUGGGCACCCUUAUUAGGGGAAGACAUGCAGGCAAUGCGUAUGCUCAUGUUCAGGCGAGAGCUUUGUACCUGGAAGGUCGUUUGUGUAUAAGCUGUUGUUGGUGUUGGUUUAUUUCUGUGAGCAACCAUGCUGUCUUGAAGAAAUGUUUGGGGUGCGGUCGAUUUGUUCUGAAUGGUACGUGUUGAGUUUGACCAUCAUUGAGUUUAUUCAUUUGACAAUAUUUAAGAUGCUGAUUUAAUGUAAAGCUCCUGCCAUGUCAUUUUGUUUUCAGUUUGUUUGGAGAGGCUUUGCUGGUUUGAGAUCCAGGCAGUUUAUUAGCAGUGCCCUCCAAUAAGUUGACCGUCUUUAAGUAAAGUCAUUUUUGUAUUUCUAAAAUACCUCAUGUUUUUGUAAAUGGAGUGGUUUAACUGUUUAUUUUCACUGUUUUUGGUCAUCUUGUGAACUUGGCCAACUGAAUCUCUGUGAAAUCACUGUUGUAUUUCAGAAAGCUGUGUAGUGGAAGUAACAGGCCGUUAUUGUAAAUAAGAAUUUGUUCUUAAUAACUGGCUUGCCUUGUUAAAUAAAAGGUUUAGUUGUGUUUUAAUCAUUUAAUGUACUCUUGUUCAUGUGUCAAACAAGCAAACCUAAUCCCCUGAGCUUUAAACGUUUGUGGUUGUUCUGCCUCUGUACUGUUUCCAUCUAAUGGGCUUAGAACCU